AUACGGAGGGUGCAAGCGUUAUCCGGAAUCAUUGGGUUUAAAGGGUCCGUAGGCGGGCAAAUAAGUCAGAGGUGAAAUCCCACAGCUCAACUGUGGAACUGCCUUUGAUACUGUUUGUCUUGAGUUAUAGUGAAGUAGAUAGAAUAUGUAGUGUAGCGGUGAAAUGCAUAGAUAUUACAUAGAAUACCGAUUGCGAAGGCAGUCUACUAACUAUUGACUGACGCUAAUGGACGAAAGCGUGGGGAGCGAACAGGAGUAGAAACCCUAGUAGUCC
rnacentral:rRNA from 1 species